UACGAAGGGGGCUAGCGUUGUUCGGAAUUACUGGGCGUAAAGCGCACGUAGGCGGAUUUGUAAGUCAGGGGUGAAAUCCCGGGGCUCAACCUCGGAACUGCCUUUGAUACUGGCAAAUCUCGAGUCCGGUAGGGGAGUGUGGAAUUCCCGGUGUAGCGGUGAAAUGCGCAGAUAUCAGGAAGAACACCCGUGGCGAAAGCGGCUCUCUGGAACGGUACUGACGCUGAGACGCGAAAGCGUGGGGAGCGAACAGG
rnacentral:rRNA from 1 species